rnacentral:rRNA from 1 species
GAUGAACGCUGGCGGCGUGCCUAAUACAUGCAAGUCGAGCGAACAGACGAGGAGCUUGCUCCUCUGACGUUAGCGGCGGACGGGUGAGUAACACGUGGAUAACCUACCUAUAAGACUGGGAUAACUUCGGGAAACCGGAGCUAAUACCGGAGAAUAUAUUGAACCGCAUGGUUCAAUAGUGAAAGACGGUUUUGCUGUCACUUAUAGAUGGAUCCGCGCCGCAUUAGCUAGUUGGUAAGGUAACGGCUUACCAAGGCAACGAUGCGUAGCCGACCUGAGAGGGUGAUCGGCCACACUGGAACUGAGACACGGUCCAGACUCCUACGGGAGGCAGCAGUAGGGAAUCUUCCGCAAUGGGCGAAAGCCUGACGGAGCCACGCCGCGUGAGUGAUGAAGGUCUUCGGAUCGUAAAGCUCUGUUAUUAGGGAAGAACAAAUGUGUAAGUAACUAUGCCCGUCUUGACGGUACCUAAUCAGAAAGCCACGGCUAACUACGUG